rnacentral:rRNA from 1 species
GGAGGGGAGUGAAAGAGAACCUGAAACCCUGUGUUUACAAGCUGUGGAAGCACUUUAUAUGUGCAACCGCGUACUUUUUGUAGAACGGUCCGGCGAGUUACGCUUACUGGCAAGGUUAAGCACUUAAGGUGUGGAGCCGUAGGGAAACCAAGUCUUAAUAGGGCCAGAGUCAGUAGGAGUAGACCCGAAACCGGGUGAUCUAUCCAUGUCCAGGUUGAAGCUGCCGUAAAAGGUAGUGGAGGACCGAACCCACAUCCGUUGAAAAGGGUGGGGAUGAGGUGUGGAUAGGGGAGAAAUUCCAAUCGAACCCGGAGAUAGCUGGUUCUCCUCGAAAUAGCUUUAGGGCUAGCCUCGAUGGAGUCUUACGGAGGUAGAGCACUGAAUUUCCUAGGGGGCGUCAAAGCUUACCAAGGGAUAUCAAACUCCGAAUGCCGUAUAGAUGCUCAUCGGGAGUCAGACUGCACGAGAUAAGUUGGGCAGUCAAAAGGGAAAGAGCCCAGACCUGCAGCUAAGGUCCCAAAGUGUGUGUUAAGUGGAAAAGGAUGUGGGAUUUCGAAGACAACUAGGAUGUUGGCUCAGAAGCAG